UACGGAGGAUGCAAGCGUUAUCCGGAAUGAUUGGGCGUAAAGGGUCCGCAGGUGGCAAUGUAAGUCUGCUGUCAAAGAAUGAGGCUUAACCUCAUCAAGGCAGUGGAAACUAUAUAGCUAGAGUACGGUCGGGGUAGAAGGAAUUCCUGGUGUAGCGGUGAAAUGCGUAGAGAUCAGGAAGAACACCGGUGGCGAAAGCGUUCUGCUAGACCUGUACUGACACCGAGGGACGAAAGCUAGGGGAGCGAAUGGG
rnacentral:rRNA from 1 species